GAUGAAGAACGUAGCGAAAUGCGAUAAGUAAUGCGAAUUGCAGAAUUCAGCGAGUCAUCGAAUCUUUGAACGCACAUUGCGCCCUGUGGUAUUCCGCAGGGCAUGCCUGUUCGAGCGUCAUUUCAACCCUCAAGCUCUGCUUGGUGUUGGGCCCUGCCCGCUGCGGCCGGCCCUAAAGACAGUGGCGGUGCCGCCUGGCCCUGAGCGUAGUACAUCUCUCGCUCCAGUGCCCGGUGGUAGCCUGCCAGAACCCCAACUCUCGUGGUUGACCUCGGAUCAGGUAGGGAUACCCGCUGAACUUAAGCAUAUCAAUAAGCGGAGGA
rnacentral:misc_RNA from 1 species